rnacentral:lncRNA from 1 species
AUAGUGCUUGAGUUGGUAAAGGAGUGGAUGAUCAUAGUGCUUGAGUUUGGUAAAGAAUUGGAUGAUCAUUUCAAUGCUUAAUUUAUAACACUCCCCCUUGAUCAUCCAUCUUGUAUUACGUGGUGCCUCGUUAAAAACCUAGUCAUGGAAAACCUAAUACGAAAAACCGUAGUAAAAGUAAAAAGAGUACAACUACGUAAGCUCCCCCU